rnacentral:rRNA from 1 species
GAUGAACGCUAGCGGCAGGCUUAACACAUGCAAGUCGAGGGGUAACAGGGAGAAGCUUGCUUUUCCGCUGACGACCGGCGCACGGGUGCGUAACGCGUAUAGAACCUACCUUUUACAGAGGAAUAGCCCAGAGAAAUUUGGAUUAAUGCCUCAUAGUAUUAUAGAAUGGCAUCAUUUUAUAAUUAAACAUUUAUGGGUAAAAGAUGGCUAUGCGUUCUAUUAGCUAGUUGGUAAGGUAACGGCUUACCAAGGCUACGAUAGAUAGGGGUCCUGAGAGGGAGAUCCCCCACACUGGUACUGAGACACGGACCAGACUCCUACGGGAGGCAGCAGUGAGGAAUAUUGGACAAUGGAGGCAACUCUGAUCCAGCCAUGCCGCGUGCAGGAAGACGGCCCUAUGGGUUGUAAACUGCUUUUAUAUAGGAAGAAACCUUUCCACGUGUGGAAAGCUGACGGUACUAUAAGAAUAAGCACCGGCUAACUCCGUGCCAGCAGCCGCGGUAAUACGGAGGGUGCAAGCGUUAUCCGGAAUCAUUGGGUUUAAAGGGUCCGUAGGCGGACUAAUAAGUCAGGGGUGAAAUCCAACAGCUUAACUGUUGAACUGCCUUUGAUACUGUUAGUCUUGAAUUAUAUGGAAGUAGAUAGAAUGUGUAGUGUAGCGGUGAAAUGCUUAGAGAUUACACAGAAUACCGAUUGCGAAGGCAGUCUACUACGUAUAUAUGACGCU